AUUGAACGCUGGCGGCAGGCCUAACACAUGCAAGUCGAGCGGUUGAAGGCAGCUUGCUCCUGGAUUCAGCGGCGGACGGGUGAGUAAUGCCUAGGAAUCUGCCUGGUAGCGGGGGAUAACGUCCGGUAAUGGGCGCUAAUACCGCAUACGCCCUGAGGGAGAAAGUGGGGGAUCUUCGGACCUCACGCUAUCAGAUGAUCCUAGGUCGGAUUAGCUAGCUGGUGGGGUAUAGGCCUACCAAGGCGACGAUCCGCAACUGGUCUGAUGGGAUGGUCAGUCACACUGGAACUGAGACACGGUCGCGACUCCUGGGGGAGGCAGCGGUGGGGAAUAUUGGGGGAGGGGGGAGAGCCUGAUACAGGAAUGCCGCGGGUGUGAAGAAGGUCUUCGGAUUGGAGAGCACUUUAGGUUGGGGGGAAGGGCAGUAAGUUAAUACCUUGCUGUUUUGACGUUACCGGCAGAAUAAGCACCGGCUAACUUCGUG
rnacentral:rRNA from 1 species